UUGCGGCGGUAUCACGUUGUAAUACCGGUUCUCGUACGAUCACAAAAGUUAAGCAACAUUCAGCCUGAUCAAUAUCUAGAUGAGUGACUGCUUGGGAAUACCGGGUGUUGUAAG